rnacentral:rRNA from 1 species
AGUAAAUAGAUACCCGGGUAGUCCACGCCGUAAACGAUGAAUACUAGGUGUAGGAGGUAUCGACUCCUUCUGUGCCGCAGUUAAACACAAUAAGUAUUCCGCCUGGGGAGUACGGUCGCAAGAUUAAAACUCAAAGGAAUUGACGGGGGCCCGCACAAGCAGCGGAGCAUGUGGUUUAAAUUCGAAGCAACGCGAAGAACCUUACCUAGACUUGACAUCUUCUGCAUUAAUCGUAAUGGAUGAAAUCCCUUCGGGGACAGAAUGACAGGUGGUGCAUGGUUGUCGUCAGCUCGUGUCGUGAGAUGUUGGAUUAAGUCCCGCAACGAGCGCAACCCCUAUUAUUAGUUGCUAACAUUAAGUUGAGCACUCUAGUGAGACUGCCCGGGUUAACCGGGAGGAAGGUGGGGAUGACGUCAAAUCAUCAUGCCCCUUAUGUCUAGGGCUACACACGUGCUACAAUGGUGGGAACAAAGAGAUGCAAUACCGCGAGGUGGAGCUAAACUCAAAACCCCAUCCCAGUUCGGAUUGUAGGCUGAAACUCGCC